rnacentral:misc_RNA from 1 species
GGCUGCUUCUAAUCAAGUUGAUUUCCAAAACAAGGCUGUUGAAGUGACUAAUGAAGUAAAUGCAUGGGCGGAGAAGGAGACUAGUGGCCUUAUCAAAGAGGUUCUUCCUUUUGGAUCAGUUGACAAUACAACCAGGCUUAUAUUUGCAAAUGCACUUUACUUCAAAGGAGCUUGGAAUGAAAAAUUUAAUGCAUCAACUACAAAAGACUAUGAUUUUUACCUUUUGAAUGGUAGCUCGGUUCAUGUGUCCUUUAUGACUAGCAAGAAGAAGCAAUUUAUCUGUGCCUUUGAUGGUUUCAAAGUCCUAGGGCUUCCUUACAAACAAGGUGAAGCUAAACGCCAAUUCUCCAUGUACUUCUUCCUUCCAGA